AGUGAACGCUGGCGGCAGGCCUAACACAUGCAAGUCGAGCGGCAGCGGGUCCCCGCGAGGGGAUGCCGGCGAGCGGCGGACGGGUGAGGAACACAUCGGAAUCUGCCUGGUUGUGGGGGAUAACGUAGGGAAACUUACGCUAAUACCGCAUGCGACCCUGAGUCGACGGACUGGGGGUGAAAGUGAGGGACCUUCGGGCCUCACGCGACCAGAUGAGCCGAGUGUCGGAUUAGCUAGUUGGCGGGGUAACGGCCCGCCAAGGCGACGAUCCGUAGCUGGUCUGAGAGGAUGAUCAGCCACACUGGGACUGAGACACGGCCCAGACUCCUA
rnacentral:rRNA from 1 species